GUUCUGUAGAACAAGUAGGAGGUGCCCUUGUGGAUUGUGGGAGUCAAGAGACGUUUUCUGAGAGGACACGAUACGUGAACUGAGACGGAUCAGAAGGAGUUAGGCAGACAAAGUGAGGCAGGGCAAAGGCUGGGACAAGGAGAAGAAACUAGUAGACGGGGCAGCAAACGCCAAGGCCCUGAGAUGACAGCGAACACAGUGGACUCAUUCACAGAUGAUUCAGGGAAUCCAAUUUAAUUCAACAAACAUUUAUGAGAGCCUACCACGACAUGCAAGAUAUUGGAGUGCAGAACCAGAUUGAGGACUCUGGAUCUGACAUUUGGGCCAAGACAAGGUUUCUACAAGGAGCAAGGGAUCAACAGAUGCAUGGGACGGUGGGGUCCCAUGCUACUCAAAUCAAACACGCAGGAGAAAGAUCAAGUGUCAUUUCCUUAAAACUUCAUUCCCUGCCCAUCUAUGAAGUCCCAGAUCUUACAUUUUUUAAAAAAGAAGAAGAAUAGGCACUUAGAAUUAUAUGAAAGCAUAAUUAAUAGAUUCAUUAAUUUCUGCCAAUAAAAGGAUUUGGUUGAAAGAAUUCUCAAAAGACAAUGGAAAGGAACUCAUUUACAUAUAAAUGGAUCUUCCGGGAGACUGCAAAGAAAAAAAUCCCACUUUCUGAUUUGGAGCAACAAAAAGCUACUAAUACAGUCAAGACUAAGAGGUCUCUGUCCUCUGGGUGCCUCCAGAAAGGUGACUAAGGGCCCUUAUUAGGCCCAUCUAAGCUUGUAACUACUAACUCUUCCCCUGCUCUUUACCUAUGCUUCGAGGAGAUACCAUUUCUCUCCUCCGUCUCAUCAUCUAACCUGGGCUCAAGAAUUCUCACCUGGGAGUGAUUCAGAUUGGGUUAACCUUCAUUUUCCUGGGGACCCCUCUUCCUUAAUCUGCCUCAGUUUCCUCAAGGAUGACAAAGAUAAAGCAUUUGGAGACAUCACAAAUGAACCUCAUCCCAAGGUUUACAGCCACCCCUGCUGAGAAGAACACUUCAGAAGGGCACUUCUGAGGAACAGUAUCCACUGACACACCCGGGGGAGAACAGUCUGUGCCUGGGGAAUUUGCCUUCAGUUAUGGCUUUCAUGACAUCAUUGGCCCAUGAUGAAAGGACAUCCAAACUUAAACCUCAUGGGCCAGACCCCUGCGUGGACUUCCUUGGAAGGUUGCCAGGGGUCAGGGAGUCUGCCCUUCCCUCCUGCGCCCUAGCAAGUUUGUACCAAGGGAUGGGACAGACAGGACUUAAUGGCCUGUAAGAAGGAAGCCACCCGUGUGGCCCAGCAAUCCGUCCUAGGAAAUGACAGGCCAGCUGGUACCCAACUCUACAAACAUGUAUUCUGAAAUCCCCCAAAUUCUUCCAAGGCACUUUGCUAAAAUAAAUCAACACAUAACCAUUCUAGAAUCAUUUCAAGAAUUUAUUACUAAGAAAACAGCAGGUGGCAGCAAAGUUUUACAUUUUUUUACCCUUUGGGUGAGAAUGAAAACAAAGCAUCAUGGAAUUAUCUCUUCACCUCUGAGUCAGCCAGCUGGCUCUGAAACUGGCACACUGCCAUCUUGUAAUGUGGAGAAUAUAGAGCCUUCUUGAGUGGGCUCCGUGCAUUGUGACAAGAGAAACGAAAAAAUGUCACCCCAAACCAGAGACCUGCCUGGUUCUUUGCAAGCCAGGCAUGAAAGUGACCAGCACAGAAUGGCCGGAUCACAGAGCAAGAGGCUGUGGCUGUGAGUCUCGUGUUCUCUUGCCUAAUGUCAAGGAGUUGCUCAUUCACAAUGGGAAGGCCGUCAUAGAAACCCGAGUAUGAUUAAGUGGAAGUAUGCCUAAAAAUUGUGUGUACACUGCAUAGCAUUUUCACCAUCUAUUAUGAUGCAACCCACAAGGUGAAAUGUGCGGAGAGAGAAAGAUAGGGGAGACAAGGGGGAUUUUAGAAUCUGGUCUCUGGUGCAACUAGAGAUUUAGAGACCUCUGAAGGCUACAUCACCACCCCACGGCUGCUGAAGCUCUGGGCUCAGGAGCAGGCAAUGCCAAGAUCACUGUCUGGUUUGGUCUCAAAUGUCUUCCUUGCCUUAGUAUUGUGCUUGGCUCCCAACUUCAAGUUGUGGCUGGAAAGUUUCCAUUGCCCCAGCACAGCACUGGAGUUUGGAACCCAAGUUUUGGCUGAAUUGUUUUGCAGAAAAAUCCAGUUUUGCCUUUAUGAAUUGACUGGCCAGUUUAUUUCAUCCCAAAAUGGUACAUCAGGACUCUCUCAGACCCAGUUUAGAUUGAGCUGCUUAAUUUCCAUCCAGGAGGAAAUUCUCUUCCUGUUUAAAGUAGGGAUGAAGAGGGGAUGGGGCUGGAGGAUUUUGCAUAGUUAUUAUUUUUAAAGAUACAAAACUUGUUAUAAAAAAAAAAAAGACAAAAUUGAAGACCCUGUUUUCAAGAUCCUAAACAGAUUUUACAAACAGAUGUAUUUGCGGGUUUUCUUUUUGGAAGUGGAAUUGACAGGGAAGUGAGUAACUUUGGUCUUUUGUAAGUUAUAUAACUAUAUCUGCGGCAUUAGCAGCUUCUGGUGAUCAAAGAGAACAUUCCUGAAGGUGCAGAGGAGGUAGGAGAAAUCCAUUUAUUUACAUAACAUGAGGUUUCAGUCCCAAACACACAAUAUUUUUCUUUCCUGCAGAAAAUGUGAUCUUGUUCUGAGGGCUUAAGGACAAACUUCACAGCUCUCUGCACAGAAAGGGUACUUCAAAAUUAUCUACUAAAGAAAACAUUUUAUGAUUCCUUUGAAUGUAAUAAACAAUAUCUUUUGAGGCAACUUGCAGUGAAUGUUCCAAAAUUUAUAUCAACAUUUAAUUCCCUCUCUGUAUGUUCUACACUCCCCAAAUAUGAUGUUAAAUCAUUUAACACGGAGAAUUGACAGCACCAGGAAAAUAUUUGGAUAACUGUCUGGAGUUGCCAUUAUUGGCUUUAAUUAUGACCUACUGGCUCUUGGGUCCUGAAGCAGCCAGAAAAUGAGAUUUGUGUGCCAAAAUAUUCAUUAGAAUUCCCUUCUCAGUCAUUGUUCAGAAAGAAAAAGUUUCCUUCUGGCCCCCAUCUUCAGUGCUUUUAAGUGGAAUCAUUAAUAUGCCAGAUUUUUUAAAGGAUCAGUCAAAAAACAAGAUUAUGAGCAUACCUUGUAUUUUGCAUUUUAAAAAAAUCUUGAAAAGGUCAAAUGUUCCUUUGCUCUUUUUCUGUUACCCUGAAGAAUUGUUCUGCAGCCAUGAAGUUAACAGGUACUCUCCCCCCAGGCCUCCUCCCCCUGCUUUCUUGAAAAAACAUCAUCCUAUAAGCUUUGGAACUGGAAGUACUAGUGAAGCACAGCUUGAGCCUCGAGAAGAACUAGUCAGAAAAGAUGAUCUAAUUUUUUUCUGCUCUUCAGUGUUCAUUUCUCCCUGAAUAUAAGAUCUUAGAAUGUUGGAGCUAGAGGGGAAGAAUCAGAGAUCAUUGAUUCCAUCUCCCAGUUAUUAAGAUGACUAAUCUAAGGUGACAUGGUACACCUACUGUUUCAGCUUUGGGUUCUGGCAUGGGGAAAGAGCAGGCGCUUUUUUUUUUUUUUUUUUAAAUCAGGGCAUCCUUAGUUGUUACUAUUAAAAAGAGUUGCCAUUUAAUGAGCAUUUACUACACUGCCAGGCAGCGGCUGAUGCUUUCAUAUACGUUGCAUCAUUAAUCCUCACAACAAGCCUAUAAGGUAAAUAUUAUUAUCCCCAUCUUAUAGCUAAUGAAACUGAGAAUCAGGUUAAGGGAAUUGCCCACAAUUACAGGGCUAGAAGAAGGAAGAAUCCAUGGGCAAAAUCAAGACUGCCUGACUUCAAAGCCUGUGUCCUUUACUCUUCCCGCAUGCUGCCUGCCAAAUGAAACAAGGCCAGAGUGCAAAUCAAGUUGGGAGAUCUUGGGCUCACACCACUUUAAUUUUUCAAAUAAUGGGUGAGGAAAGAGUCCUCCACAGUGAUAAAGUAGAGAAGGAUGCCUGUGUCAAGCAGUCCCCGGUUACCAGAAUUUGCAAAGAGAUCAACAGGGACCAUAUAGAUGAAACUAUUUCCCAUUAUCUACUCAUCAUGUUUAACAAGGCAGUUUACUCUGAAAGCUUUUGAAAGACUUCCCAGCUUUUCAUAAAAGUUGGCUGAUUCGAUGUUGACAAUUUGUCUUUCAUUUAAUAGAAAAUUGGUGAGGGAAAUUUGGGAGGGAUGCUUAUUUUGGGAAAAAAUAAUUUGGAUUUUUUUUUAAUGCUCAAGGUCAAGAAGGGCUAGGAGAGCAGAUGUGGUAUAAAUUAGGGAAGUUUAUCUGAUGGUUGUCCACAGUGGCACAGAUGAUGGAGUUACUGCCUGGAAAUGCUUGCAUUUUCCAUUGAAACAUAGUUUGGGAAAGAAACUUUGACGUUUUAGAAAAACUAAUAAAGUUAAGAUAGAAUUGGAAUGUUACAUGUUAAAAACCAUGAGAUGGAGACAUUCAGGGGAAACAUCCAAGUUUGUUAACUGAGGUGCCAGUGAAAACUCUUUGUAAACUGAAACUUUACUGUCUCCCAAAGAGAAAAGUCACAUACCUGGAUAAAUUAUAAAUAACCUGCCCGGUCCUUGCUCCUUCUCUCUGAAGAGGAGGUAACUCAAAUCCCGCUGUAAGUAGGUAGGUAGGUAUGUGCCUGGUCAGGGAGAUUUAAGGAGCAUCACUUGCAUGUUGGGUUAUUUCAGUGUCAAAUCACCUGAUCCACUCCUACCCUCCUAAUCCAAGCCAACAUCACCUCUCAUCCAGACCAGCGCAGUCACGGUGUAUCCAGUGCCUGGAACAGGGACCAGCAUAGAGUUAGGAGCUUAAUAAAAUAUUGUUGAUUGAUUGAAUGAAUGAGAUCCUGCUUGCCCUGAAUUAGUGUCCCAGUCCUGGUUCCCUGACCCUUGAUGUGUGCCUGGUACUGAGACCCAGCCAUGAUACCCUACCUCUAGGACUAUAUCCCUGCCCUGUUCUCUCCAGUCCCUUUGACAGCAGUGUGUUAGUUUACUCAGGCUGCCAUAACGAAAUGCCAUAUAUUGAGUGGCUUAAACAACAGAAUUUUUUUUCUACAGUUCUGGAAGCUAGAAGUCCAAGAUCAAAGUGCCACAGGUUUGGUUUCUUCUGAGGCCUUUCUCUUGCCUUGGAGAUGGCCACUUUCUCUUUCUGUCCCCACACGGUCAUCCCUCAGUCUGCGUGUUAUCUCUGUCCUAAUCUCCUCUUCUUAUGAGGACACAAGUCAGAUUGGAUUAGAACCCACACAUAAGACCUCAUUUUACCUUAAUAAAUCCUCUUUAAAGGACUUAUCUCCAAACACAGUCACAUUCUGAGGUUCUGAGGGUUAGGACACCAACUAUGAAUCUGGGGAGGAGAGACACUAUCCAGCCUAUAACAAGCUGUCACAAGCAGAGUCCUCUCUCUGCCUCCUACAGCUGGACUUCCCUGGGGCCUGCCUGUAGUUAGCUCCUAGGAUGCCCAUUGCUGUGCUCUCUGACCUUUUUUUUUUUUUAAUUUAUUAUUUUUUUUGCUGCAUUUGGUCUUAGUUGCGGCACGUGGGCUCUCUAGUUGUGGCGUGUGGGCUCAGUAGUUGUGGCACAGGCUUAGUUGCCUCACAGCACGUGGGAUCUUAGUUCCCCAACCAGGGGUCCAACCUGCGUCCCCUGCAUUGGAAGGCGGAUUCUUUACCACUGGACCACCAGGGAAGUCCCCUCUCUGCCAUUCUUGACGCCCUGGUGCUUCCUGCUGGUCCUCUUUGCCGCCAAUGCCUUACAGCACAACCACCUGUUGUCUGUUACCGCACCCUGGGCUGGCCUUCCUCCCAUCACCUGCAGCUGGUCUUCUCUCCAAACACUUGCCCCGCCUGGCUGCAAUUAACCCUUCUAUUUCUGGCUGUGUUCAUGGGUACAACCCUAAAUCUAAAACUAC